rnacentral:tRNA from 22 species
GAAACUUAGGAUUACCCAAACCGAAG